UCCUGUAUUCAAAAGCAACUGUGGGCUGCCUGUGCCCUGGUCAUUGAUACUGCAGGAGAGGAUGCCGAAAGCCUUGCCCUGUCUUUAGAAGGUCUGCUCGUGUCCUUGCCAAACCCUGAGGCUUUGCAACA